UACGUAGGAUGCAAGCGUUGUCCGGAAUUAUUGGGCGUAAAGAGCGCGCAGGCGGUUUUACAAGUCAGAUGUGAAAGAGGCCGGCUUAACCGGCAAGGGUCAUUUGAAACUGUAAGACUAGAGUACAGCAGAGGAUAGCGGAAUUCCCGGUGUAGUGGUGAAAUGCGUAGAUAUCGGGAGGAACACCAGUGGCGAAGGCGGCUAUCUGGGCUGAAACUGACGCUGAGGCGCGAAGGCUAGGGUAG
rnacentral:rRNA from 1 species